UACAGAGGGUGCAAGCGUUGUUCGGAAUUAUUGGGCGUAAAGCGCGUGUAGGCGGCUUUGUAUGUCGGGUGUGAAAGCCCUCGGCUUAACCGAGGAAGUGCGCCCGAAACUGCAGAGCUUGAGUGCCGGAGAGGGUGGCGGAACACCCGGUGUAGAGGUGAAAUUCGUAGAUAUCGGGUAGAACACCAGUGGCGAAGGCGGCCACCUGGACGGACACUGACGCUGAGACGGCGAAAGC
rnacentral:rRNA from 1 species